CCUACGGGGCGCAGCAGUGGGGAAUAUUGGGCAAUGGGCGCAAGCCUGACCCAGCAACGCCGCGUGAAGGAAGAAGGCUUUCGGGUUGUAAACUUCUUUUAUGAGGGACGAAGGAAGUGACGGUACCUCAUGAAUAAGCCACGGCUAACUACGUGCCAGCAGCCGCGGUAAUACGUAGGAUGCGAGCGUUAUCCGGAUUUAUUGGGUUUAAAGGGUGCGUAGGCGGAAUAUCAAGUCAGCGGUAAAAAUUCGGGGCUCAACCCCGUCGUGCCGUUGAAACUGAUGUUCUUGAGUGGGCGAGAAGU
rnacentral:rRNA from 1 species